rnacentral:rRNA from 1 species
AAAACUCAAAUGAAUUGACGGGGGCCCGCACAAGCGGUGGAGCAUGUGGUUUAAUUCGAUGCAACGCGAAGAACCUUACCUGGUCUUGACAUCCACGGAAGUUUUCAGAGAUGAGAAUGUGCCUUCGGGAACCGUGAGACAGGUGCUGCAUGGCUGUCGUCAGCUCGUGUUGUGAAAUGUUGGGUUAAGUCCCGCAACGAGCGCAACCCUUAUCCUUUGUUGCCAGCGGUCCGGCCGGGAACUCAAAGGAGACUGCCAGUGAUAAACUGGAGGAAGGUGGGGAUGACGUCAAGUCAUCAUGGCCCUUACGACCAGGGCUACACACGUGCUACAAUGGCGCAUACAAAGAGAAGCGACCUCGCGAGAGCAAGCGGACCUCAUAAAGUGCGUCGUAGUCCGGAUUGGAGUCUGCAACUCGACUCCAUGAAGUCGGAAUCGCUAGUAAUCGUGGAUCAGAAUGCCACGGUGAAUACGUUCCCGGGCCUUGUACACACCGCCCGUCACACCAUGGGAGUGGGUUGCAAAAGAAGUAGGUAGCUUAACCUUCGGGAGGGCGCUUACCACUUUGUGAUUCAUGACUGGGGUGAAGUCGUAACAAGGUAGCC